GGAGAGCUGUCCGAGCGGUUUAAGGAGCACGAUUGGAAAUCGUGUAUACAUUGAUAGUGUAUCAAGGGUUCAAAUCCCUUGCUCUCCGCCA
rnacentral:tRNA from 1 species